rnacentral:rRNA from 1 species
UACGUAGGGGGCAAGCGUUGUCCGGAAUCAUUGGGCGUAAAGCGCGUGUAGGCGGUCCGGUAAGUCCGCUGUGAAAGUCGGGGGCUCAACCCUCGGAUGCCGGUGGAUACUGUCGGGCUUGAGUACGGAAGAGGCGAGUGGAAUUCCUGGUGUAGCGGUGAAAUGCGCAGAUAUCAGGAGGAACACCAAUUGCGAAGGCAGCUCGCUGGGACGUUACUGACGCUGAGACGCGAAAGCGUGGGAGCAAACAGG